CCUAGAGAUGCUGCCUGGCCUGCUGCGUUCACCAGCAACUUUUAUGUGUGUUGCUUGAAUUUCCAGCAUCUGCAGAAUUCCUGUUGCCUCUGAAAACCAAACCCUCUUCCUCUGCUCUUCGCAAUGAGAGGUCUAACAAGGUCUGGAAGGUAGCGACCGUACAAACCUGGGCAACGUUUGUGGAACUUUGGGCGGAAAAAAACCUUUCAACUUGGUAGGAGGAGAACGUUUUCGCAGUUGCUGAUUAAUCCUCUGAUAGAAUACUAUCUCCGAAGCUAGGAACUGUGAUCUGAGUGGAAGAACACCCAUCAGCCUCUGAACAUCAAGAUUUUAAAAUCUCUCGCCAAGACAAAGAACUCUGCCUUUCUACACUUCCGAGAAAAUGGAAGAUUUCAGAUCUUAUAUUCCUUCGGCCAAGAUUUCUUCCAGUGAAUUGGCCCGUCCACAACCUCUGAAGCCUCUCUGCAUUCUCGCCACAAUUCAUUCCGCCAUCAUUAACAACGUUGGUUUCCUCAUCCAAAUCAAUGACUUCAGGAGCAAACAACUAAGGCCCCAACAAACCCUAACUGAUCACCGCUUUACAAACUGAAAAUAACCCACUUAAUCCUGUUCUCUUUUUAAUUGUCUAUUAAUAAUUAUCAAUAGAUUAUUCUGCAUUCCAUUUGCAUUAAUUUUGAUUUACAAUUCUGGUGCGCAAUCUUUUUGAAGAAUUUUGCAUUGAUUAGUUUCCCCAGGUACUCUAUAUGUUAAAAAAAUACAGAUCUGUCAAACAUGAUUCUAAAUCCAUGCAGACUCUUCCCACACCGAUGUGUCAUAUUUGCCUCCACAACUGCUCCUACAGUGAAUUUAAGGCAGCUGCCACUCUCUGAGUAAAAUGUUUGUCCCACAAAUCUCCUUUCAAUGUUAGUAUUAAACAUUUCAACAAUGGGAAAAAGACACCAGUUUUCUACUCUACCUAUGCCUCUCAACAUUUUAUAUCCUUCUAUCGGGUCUCUCCAUAGUCUCCACUGUCCAGAGAAAAUAAUACUGAUUUGCCCAACCUCUCAUCCAGGUAGCAUUCUGACAAUCCUCUUCUGCCCCCUCUCUAAUGCCUCCAGAACAUUUUUAGAAUUGGGUGAACAAAACUGAAUUCAAUACUCCAGGUGUGGCCUAACCAGAGUUUACAAACGUAUAACAUUAUCUUGUCAUGGUCCAGUCCGUGAAGUCCGUGUUCCGGUUCAAGGUCCAGUCCAUAGUUCCUUGUUCUGGGGUUUCUGGUUUUUCCUAGUUUCUGUUAUGGGCACAUGUUUCUUGUUUUGGGGCUGAGACAUAAAUACUUCUGCAAACCAGGGAUUCCCUGCUGGACUGUCCUGUUUCCCUCCCUGUCUUUUCCCCCCUCGCCUGACUCACUGCCUGGAUACCUCGCCUGACUCUCUGCCUGCUCACCUAGCCUGGAUACCCUGCCUGUAUCGCUGAAGUCUUACCGCCGGAGCAAGACCGGAGCCUUGUUAGGUCAAGUUAAGGACUGUCUUUCGUUAUGUGGAAUUGACUCUCUGUGUCCAUGCCUUCGCUAGGUAGGUCCAGCUGCUUGCCGCCACCUUGUGUUGGGAUCCGUCUCUUCAUGUUCAGUGUUCUGUGUAUGAGUUCCGGCCCUACGUCCUUUUCCCAAGGAGGGGUCCUGGCUCUGUGUUAUGUGUGUGAGUCCCGGCCCUAAGUCCUGUUCCCAAGGAGGGGACCUGGCUCUGUGUUCCGUGCUCCUGUCUCUUCUAGUUCAAGGCUCCGUGUUCCUGAAGGCCCUCGUCCAGUCUGUGCCUAGUCCAGACCUAUCCCAGUCCUGUUCAUGUGCCUUUACCUGUCCUCGUGUCUCACCCUACCCAGGAGUUCCACACCCAAGCCAUGUCCAGUCCUGUAGCCUCGUCUUGUCCUCGCCUAGUUCUGGAGUCCGAGUCCGAGUCAAGUCCCAGGUUCUGGGUCCUUGCCCAGUCUCUGACUUGGAGUCCAUACCCAAGCCUUGAAGUACCCUAGAUCCAAGACCGAAGACCCCAAGCUCAAGCCUCAAGACCCCAAGCCUGUCUCCAAGCUGAAGCCUCAAGACCCCAAGCCUGUCUCCAAGCUCAAGCCUCAAGACCCCAAGCCUGUCUCCAAGCUCAAGCCUCAAGACCCCAAGCCUGUCUCCAAGAUCAAGCCUCAAGACCCCAGCCUCCAGUCCUGCUGCCAUGUCAUGUCCUUGCCUAGUUCUGGGCCCUGAGCCCAAGGCAAGACCCAGGUUCUGGGUCCUUGUCCAGUCUCUGGCUCGGGGUCCAAACCCAAGUCUGUGUUCUUGUCCCUGCUCCUUGUCUGUAUCCUGUCACGUCCCUACUCUCGUCAAGUCCUGUACCUUGUACUUCAGUGUCUGUGCCUUGCAUUUGGGUCCGCUACCAGUGCCCCCAUUGUGACAUAUUUCCAUACUCUUGAAUUCAAUGCUUCAAGAAACAAAGGCAAGUGUUAACCAUUCUAUGAAGCUAUGCAGUCAUAUUCAGGAGCUAUGGACUUGGAUUCCAAAGCUUCUCUGUACAUGUACAUUGUUAAAGACAUUGCCAUUGACGGGGAUCUGUUUCUUUACAAUUGAUCUACCAAUGUGCAACAACUGACACUUGUCAGGAUUAAACUCCAUCUGCUAUAUCUGCAUCUGAUCUAUAUCCCAUUUUAUCCUUUGGCAAUCAUCUACACCAUCUAGAAUAUCAGCAAUUUUUGGGUUGCAAAUCUAUCCACCCAGGUUUUCAUCCAAGUCAUGUACAUAUCUGAGAAACAGCAGAGGUCCCUGUACAGAUCCCUGCAGAACUCCACAAGUCACGGACCUCCAAUCAGAGUAAGACCCAUUGACCACUACCCUCUGUCUUCGAUGGGCAACCUAGUUCUGAAUCCAAAUGGUCAAUCACCAUAGAUUUCACACAUCUUAAUGUUCUAGAUGGAUCUUGAAUGCCUUACUGAAAUCUGUGUAGACAACAUCAGCUGCUCUAUCUUCACUGAUCACCCCAGUAACCUCUUUGAAAAACUUAAUCAAGCUACUAAGACAUGACCUACCUGGCCAAAGCUAUAUUGUCUGUCACUAUUUAGGCCUUGAUUUUUUAAAAUGCUCAUAAAUCCUAUUCCUAAGAAUUAUCUCCAAAGAUACCUUACCCCUGAGGGACUCAUCAUAUCCUUAAUUAUAGAUUCUAGUCUUUUUUUCUACUACUGAUAGGGAGUUAACUUAUGUGUGUUUUUAAAAAUUUAUUCAUUUUACAAGAUGUGAGUGUCACCAGCUAUGCCAGCGUUUAUGCCCCAUUUCUAGCUGCCUUCGAUAAGGUGGUGAUGAACUGCCUUCUCGAACUGAUGCAGUCUGUGAGGUGUAGGUACACCCACAGUGCUGUUAGGGAGAGAAUUUCCACGAUUUUGACCCAGCGACAAUGAAGGAACAGCGAUAUGUUUCCAAGUCAGGAUGUGCCCCGCCCUCAACCCUAGACCAGACGGUGAAUGCUCUCCACAGUACUGUACAUCUGUACAAUUUGCAAGAGUCCUACACUAAGAUGCUGCUUGACCUGCUGAGCAUUACUGGCAGUCAGUUUUAUUCUCCAGUGAUGGAGGUUCUCCUCCUUGAAUCUGGGGACUCAUCAGAUUCACAAAACUGUGGGUUAAAUCUCUGAAGGUGUCCAGCUCUGUACUGAGGGAAUGCUGUGUUGCAGACAGUACUGCCUUUCAGUACAAUGUUCAACCAAGGCUCUGUGGAUUUUUAAUGGCUGGUGUAUAAACCACAGAGCAACAGUUCUGGCUGAAGAAAAUGCUAAAUAUUUCAAUAAGCUCCAACCCAUGUUAAUGCUAGAGCUAGGAUUGGUGACUGUGAACCAGUUCUGUUAUCAAGAAGGCAUCCAUUCAGUGGGUAAUAAAAUGGAUGAGUUGACGGCGCUAGCCAGGAGUCUGAGAACAUUUCCGGAAGUCAGUGUUAUGUGUUUUACUGAAACGGGGCUGCAUGAGGACAUACCCGAUCAAACUUUGGAUGGUACAAUCCUGGUCAUAUUACAAUCGAGGAACGUGUUUGUAGACCGGAUAUUGAAUUUUUUGCUGUUGGACUUCAGCCAUAUUCCACCAAGAUACAACAUUGGGCGUCAUGGGAGGUUGUUCCUGCCUGUGGCCAUCGAACUUUGCAGCUCCUCCCGUGGAGGGUCAGACACUCUGAGCCAAUAGGCUGGUCCUGGACUUAUUUCCAUCUGGCAUAGUUUUCAUAUUGUUGUUUGAUUGAUUGUUGUUUUUGUAUUGCUAUAUUUAUGCUCUAUUCUUGGUUGGUGCAGCUGUAACGAACCCAAUUUCCCUCAGGAUCAA